UUCGACAACCAGAGGGGUGAGUCGCAGUGUCCUCAGCCAUCUCCGCACCCCACCAUGACACGCAAGCUGUCCUGUUUCCUGAGGGAGCUUGACGGGCCACCUGACAUUCUCCGUAUCUGGACUCUGGCCCUCUGUUUCGCACAUGCUUCGAUUGACUGCUCAAAUUCUUGCUCUUGGACGUGCCCUGAGGAAAUCGGGCGGAGACAGGAGCCCGCAGCAGUGGCCCAGCCAGCCCGACGGCCGAGUCUCAGCUCGCCCCACGCCGCCCCGUGACGUGCCCCGUGGGGCUCUCCCCGCUCCAGCGCUCUCGCCCCUCUAGUGGCCCUGGAGUUACCUAAGUGGCCCUCGGACGUCCGACUGUGACACUGCUCAGGCUAAGCAAGUCCCCUCACUGUCUGCGCCUGCCACUGUCCUGACACACGGACCUACCGCCUGCCCGGCGUGGCGCUGUCCUCAUCGCUCACAGACAGCUUUUUCCACGAGACAAAUACUCCUAUUUUAUUUAUUUGACAGAGAGAGACACAGCGAGAGAGGGAACACAAGCAGGGGGAGUGGGAGAGGGAGAAGCAGGUUUCCCGCCGAGCAGGGAGCCCGAUGCGGGGCUCGAUCCCAGGACCCUGGGACCAUGACCUGAGCCGAAGGCAGACGCUUAACCGACUGAGCCACCCAGGCACCCCGUGAACACGGUUUUCUUAAGGGAAGGUCAAGCCCACCUUGUGAUGGAGUUCACCAGCGUCCGCAGUCGGACUGGUCUGUCCGGACGGGUGGACAGCCUCCACACGGCUGCCCGCCAGGACACAGCUCUCUACAGUUUCUGAAGUGUUCUCCCACGUAUACAUAUACCACCUCCCGUCAUUCUCACAACAAUGGGGCACUUGGAGCCUUAUCACCCCAAUUUUGAAGCAAAGCUAACAGGUUCAGAGAGGAUGUUUCUCAGUCACAUUAUUUCUUGAGCAAGACAUAGCUGUACCCAUCUUGACUUGAUCCAGUUCACAAGGCAUGGCUCAGAACGGCAUUUACUUCCAACGAGCAAAUUUAUUCACAAAAGACAAAGAUUUCUCCUUAUUGAAAAUACUCCUAAGACUUGUGUCACAGGACCUAAGAGGAACUCUGCAAGAUUAGUCCUAGCUUUCUUUGACCAGUGGCUACUUUAGAAAUGUACACAGUUUCCCAAGCAAAGUACUUUGUAAGAAAAACAUUCAUUUUUAUGUCUUAGUUCUGGUAUUUUUGUUAAAAGCUAAGUACUUUGUAAGAAAACAUUCACUUUUAUGUCUUAGUUCUGGUAUUUUUGUUAAAAGUGAUUUCUUUUAUGUUACUUGAUUCGGUGCUG